GUUGCCUGCAAGAUGUAGCACUCUCUGCCAGCACCAAGUCUGCCUGCACACACACAGCCAUGCUCCCUGCCUGCACACAGCCAUGCUCCCUGCCUGCACACAGCCAUGCUCCCUGCCUUAAGGAUAAUGAACUAACCUCUGAAACUGAAUAACUCCCAGGCUCGAGCCAAGCCUGUGCUUGUGACAAUACUGGAGACCCCAGGAGGAAGCUGGCACACGUGCAAGAGAAGCUCAGACAGGAAUGAGCGCCUGGACCCUGACAAGCAAGGCCUUCAGGACUCUGACCAGGGUUUACAUGGGAAACCUUGUGACUGACAGAAGGCUAUGCCUCCUGCUCUUCCUCAAGCCCACGCUUCUCCAGGGCUCUGUGACACAAUUGCUUCACCACACAGUGUCCCAGGCCUUGA
rnacentral:lncRNA from 1 species